rnacentral:lncRNA from 1 species
CCACUUCUCCUUCAUCACUAUCUUGUCCACUUCUUGCACACAUAGUAAUAAUCAACUUAAUAAAACCAGAAAGAAAUACUCUUUCUCUAUGUUAAGUGCUCAAAGACCUACCACCAGCACCUCCACAAGCCAUGGAGAAACCGAUCACGACCAAGAACAUGAAGAUAUCCGCGAUAUCCAUGCCUUAACCCCACCCCCGCCGCCUUCGGUGCCUCGAGGCCGUUGGGAAACGGGUAGCCAUCGCUCAAUAUCCAUGAGUAGUGAAGGGGCUGCAAGUGAGAACUUCACCUCCAUGAGUAGAGAGUUCAAUGCUUUGGUUCUUGCUGGUUCUGCAAUAGGAACUAGCAUGAACAACAACAAUAGCGGUUCUGAUCAUAAUGAAGAUAGCAACUUAAACAACCUGUUGGCUAGGAUUGGGGAAGAUGAAGUUCCUGAAGAGACUAACCCUUUGGCUAUUGUGCCUGAUACUCCGCCCUUGGACCCAGAACCCAGCUCAAGCUCAAGAAGGGUUGGGUCCAAUCAGGUGGUUGUUGGUGCUGGUGGUGGUGGUGCUGAUGUGUCAGUGCAGAGAGUGAAGAAAGAAGAGAUAGAAACCAAGAUAUCUGCAUGGCAAAACGCAAAGAUUGCUAAGAUCAAUAAUAGGUUCAAAAGAGAGGAUGCCAUAAUUAAUGGCUGGGAAAGUGAGCAAGUGCAAAAGGCUUCUUCUUGGAUGAAGAAAGUUGAGGUAUGUAUAGAAAGAAAUUAAUUAUUAGUCUAGUAUAUUAAUUAUUUAUUAAUUUGCCUGUUAAUUAAAUUUUUGAAUUGAUGAUCCAAAGCUAAUAUGUUUCCCUUCUCAUGCAGAUUUUUUCAUGAUUAUACUAAGGACUUGUUAAUUAAUUACUCAAUUGAGAAACAGAUAACAAUCAUAAUUUCUUUGUUGAAUUUUUUGAACCAUAUUGAUUAGAGAGAGUCUUGAUGAUGUAGGUGAAGUUACGUUGAUACUUUACCUAUAUGACAAGAGUUAAUAUAGACCACUAGUUUAUGAUCAAAUAAUGGAAUUUCUUGGAUUUGUAUUUUAUCUAUUGCUAGUUAGUGAGCUAAUUUUAGCUCAAGUUUCAAUUUCAGUAAUUAUUGCUUCCACAAAAGAUAAUAACUAACUUUCAACAAGAAAAGUAUUUUCAUGCUUCAAGCACUACUCAAGACAGAAAAGUACAUGUGAGAAUUAUACCUUUACAAUUGAUAAGGCAUUUUCAUAACGGCUUAUAUCUAAAGCAUGUAUAUGUCUUUUACUGUUUCUUCUUCUUCUCCUUCUUUUCUUUUUUUUUUCUUGUAUCAACUAGAAAAUUAAUGUUGUCUCUGUUUUUAACACUCUCUUUUUUGUUCUAACUUAUAUGAGCUUGAUUUAUUUAGAGGAAGCUGGAGGAGAAAAGAGCAAGAGCACUAGAGAAGAUGCAGAAUGAAGUAGCAAAAGCACACAAGAAAGCAGAGGAUAGAAGGGCAUCAGCUAAGGCUAAAAGAGGAACAAAAGUUGCUAGAGUUCUUGAAACAGCCAAUUUGAUGAGAGCUGUUGGAAGAGCUCCUGCUAAAAGGUCCUUCUUUGAACCUUAUAGUACUAUACAAUAUAAUCUACUAUAAUCAUAUAGAACAUAUUUUACUUAAAAAGACAAAAAAAAAAAAAAAAAAAAAAAAAAAAAGAAUGGUGGACAAAAAUAAUUGUCCCAAACUAUUAGGGUUCCUACAUCUUUUGAACUAUAGGAAACCCAUGUCUGAAAUGGGGCAGUGAGGAAUUGCACUCAAAAACUAAGGAUGAACUAAGGCUCAGAUUGAAAUCUUCAGUAUUUUCCAUUUCCAUCAAAUUAAGCUUUCCACAGUCUCCAAUAACCAAAGUUUCUAAUGCAGAUAGAUUCCUUAUACCGCGAGGUAAGGAUGCUAGACUCCCGCAAGAAGUUAUAACCAAUGUUCGAAAGGAUGUCAGAGCCUGCAUAUCAUCAAACAAUUUUUCCAAACUCCCACAUUCAAACAAAGACAGAUAUCUUAGAGAACUGACACAUCCUAUACCAUUUUCUGGUAAGGAAGUCCGUUUUGUAGUUAUCUCCAAAAACCUGAGGCGAGUCAUCUGCUUGAUAUCUCUAGGAAUUUCUUCAAGCUUCUCACAUUCUUCAAGUCUUAAGGUCUGCAAAUUCUGCAGCCUGCAAAUGGAAUUAGGGAGUUUUCGAAGCUUCCGAUUCCUAUAAAGGUCAAGAUAUCUCAAAUUCUUCAAUGUACCAAUUGAAUUUGGCAAUGUCUCAAAGCAUGAAUCGCUAAGAUUAAGCACUCGUAAGUGCUUGAAUCUUGACAUGCAGGUGUCAAUAAAUGUUCCGCUAGUAGGCCCCAUCCCCCUAACUGGGAAAAAUAUAGUUCUUACCUUCUCUAACUUGUGCAAGAACUUAGGAACUUGUUGACUUGGCAAAUUACAGUUGAGCACUCGCUUUGCGCAACUGAUAUAGCUAGAUCAUGUACAAGAUCAUGCAUUUUGCAGGAAAAAAAGAAACCGUGAUCCUCAAUAUCUUGGAGAAAAGAUCUCGACCAUAGUUCUUUCACAAAACGCAACCCAUUCUCUUUCAAUUCUUCAUCUUCAUCAGGCGAUUCAAGAAGUCCAUAAGCCAUCCAAAAUUGAAUCAAUUCAAAACUGUACAACACAUAAUUUUUGGGAAAGAGGGAACAAUAAGCAAAACAUCGUUUCAAGUAAGAUGGCAUGUGAUCAUAGCUCAACUUCAGCACCGGUAGGAUGUCAUUUUCUUGAUGUUGUAAUUUCCAUAUCUCAUUGUCUCUGAUGGACACCCAGGUUUUUUCUUCGGUUGAUGAAUAAAGUAGACUUCCUAAAGUUCUCACUGCUAAAGGAACCCCUCCACAUUUCCUUACAAUCUCAUUCCCAAUAUCUAUGAGAUUCGGAUAUUGCUUCUCUUGUCCUGGAUUAAAUGCCCAUUACCAAAACAAAGACAAACAAUCCUUAUGGGAAAGACAGGCAAAUUGUAUGCAAAAUCAUUGCCUACAACAGAAGCAACUUUUGAACUCCUUGUAGUUACAAUAAUUUUACUUCCCAAAGCACAAUCCUCCAACAAACCUCUAAAUUCAACCCAUUUAACCAGAUUUUCAUUCCAAACAUCAUCCAAAACAAGCAAAAACUUUCUACCACCUAAACUCCUCCGCAAUCGUGCUUGCAAUUGAUCCAUUGUCAGGUCACCAUAACUCCUACCAGUAGCAGAACUAGUAAUCUCCUUAGCCAACCUAGUAACAUCAAAUUCCUGAGACACACAAACCCACAUCUUCAAUUGAAAAUUCUUCUCCACCCUUUCAUCAUUAUACACCAUUUUAGCUAAUGUCGUCUUCCCUUGGCCACCAAUUCCAAUUAUACGAACAACUGAAAGAUUUUCUUCCUUACUAUAAUGCAACAANNNNNNNNNNNNNNNNNNNNNNNNNNNNNNNNNNNNNNNNNNNNNNNNNNNNNNNNNNNNNNNNNNNNNNNNNNNNNNNNNNNNNNNNNNNNNNNNNNNNNNNNNNNNNNNNNNNNNNNNNNNNNNNNNGUUAGAUUAUUUAAUAAUCUGUAUGUAGCCCAUGUGAUUAAAGGGCUGGUUCUAAUUAAGGUGGCCCAAGAUGAUGGUUAUUGGGCUUAAUGAAUAAGAGACAGUUAGGGUUUUAAUACCCUUCCUCUGCCUUAUAAAAGAUAAAGGAAUCAACAGAUUAGAGUUAACACAGAAACAAGAGAGUGUGAUGGAUACCUCAAACACAUACGGAGAUAGUAAGCAGUCACAAGGCACAACCAUUAAACUUACACUGAAUCAAUCAGAAAUACAUCAUUCUACUUCUGCUAAAUCUCCUAUUAGUUCCAAAGAAUACCUUGCUUCAUUUAAAGAGAUGCAUAAGGUUAUGAUUAAAGAUUAGACCCGUACUCUCAAUAAGCAAGGCGAAUUUCUACAAUGUUGCUGUCCCAAAUUUGCAAGCUCAACAAUGACACAUCAAUAUACAAGUCCAUUCGCAUUCACGCAUUGGCAUAUCAUAGUAGAUGUAGUNNNNNNNNNNNNNNNNNNNNNNNNNNNNNNNNNNNNNNNNNNNNNNNNNNNNNNNNNNNNNNNNNNNNNNNNNNNNNNNNNNNNNNNNNNNNNNNNNNNNNNNNNNNNNNNNNNNNNNNNNNNNNNNNNNNNNNNNNNNNNNNNNNNNNNNNNNNNUUUUUUUUUUCUGUAAGGCUAAGUAGUAGUUGUGGUUGUAUUGACAAACAGCAAGAAAAAAAUUCAAAAUUCAAUAACAUUUCAAAACCAACAAUAAAAUUACUCCAAGAUAACAAAAGUCAGCAUUCAGCAACGAAAGGGAAUGUACUGUAACAGAGGGAUUACCUUUUUAUGCAGAGCUCAAAACGCUUUUACUUGUACUAGGCUUGGGGAAAAGAAAUAGGUAGCGGCGGUUGCGCUAUUAGGGAAGAGAUUGGAGAAUUUGGGAAUUAGGGGUUUCUUUUCCCCAGGCCAGUUACAAGAAGAGGCGGUUGCGCUAUUAGCCGUGGAGUGGCUAUAAUUGCAAUUUGCAGGGUUUUAGUUGGUAGAUUAACUAACAUAAGCUUAUCGAAUCUUGAGGGUUUUAUUGUUGUUAUUUUAUUUUAGGAAUAAAGUUAAAAAUAUUAAAUUCAAUAUUUUGAGUCAAUUAAAUCUUUGAAUUUGUUUAAAAUAAUCAAAAAAAAAUCAGAUUAACAUUUUAGAUCAAUUUAGUUGUUGAUUCUUCUAUGUAUUUUCAGGCAUAUAAGACUAUAAUUAGAAUUAACUUGUAUAAUUUGUUAAAAUUAAUUAAUUAAUUAUUGAAUGGAAGAAAACUAUCUAUGAAGUAUAUUGUAGCCGUCUUUAUCUUGAUCAAUGAUUUUGAGUUCAUAAAUAUAUAUAUUAAUUUGAAUAUUUUAAAAUGAGGUAAUUACGAAUUUAGUUUCUAAACUUUUGAAAAAUUUUUAUUCAAUAUCUCAACGAAAAAACGUUUACAAUCAAAUUUCUUACCAAAUAAAUUUUUUUCGAUUAGGUGUAUUCAUUUUACGUGGCUUGUUGAAAAUAAGAAUAGGAUUCAUGAGACCCACUUAAUAUUCAAAAUAUUGCUAAGUAGGACGGCAUAUAGCUUAACACGUCGGAUUUAACAUUUAUAGUAUAAAAAAUGUAUUAGUUAAUGCAAAUUUAGUACUAUUAACUAAAUAAAAUAAUGAAAACUUUUAAUUAUCUUGUUACCAGUUUUAUAAAAUGGAUCACGUACGAAACACCAACAAUAAUCUUUUAUAAAAUUUAAAUCAAUGCAUAUAUCAAUUUGGAUAACUCAAAUCUAUAAAUGUUUUAAUAUAUGAUAUUAAUUAAGAUCAUUUUAUAAAAUUUUAUAGAAAAAAUUAUUUAUCUUGGUUAAAUAUUUCCAAAAAUUUUAAUAUUCAUAUUAAGACUUUUUAUUCAUUUAUUUUUUAUGUGAAAUCAUAUCAUUUUCAUAUAAAUUACGUGAUAUGUAAAAUUUUCUUAAAUACAUAUAUAAUCACAAAAAUUUUCAAAUUAGUUUUUUAAAAAAAGAUAUUUGAAAAGGAAAAAGAAAAAGUACGUACAUAAUCAAUUAGAUUUACCUGCUACGAUAAGUUAGCAUGCCAAAUGACACAAAAAGAAAGUACAUGUACUAGUAAAUUAUUUACUGUAGUAGAAGCCAAAAAUAAUAUUCAAUCAAAUUAAGUUUAUUUUGGGUCAAAGUUAAAGAUAAGUAAUAUAGCUGAAGAUUUCUUAAUUAACAGUUACUAAAACAGUUAAUUUUGAAAAACAAAGCACGAUAAUGAUAAGAUUUGGAGGUUUGGAGAAAUUUUUCACUGCUAAUUACGUAAAUAAAUACCCUCUUAUGAUUUCAUUCCAUAAUUUAGUUAAUAAAAUAUCUCAUCGUUUUUUUUUUUUUUUUUUUUGGUUGUUAAGUGUACCUAACUUCAAUACCCACGACGGAAUCAUAUGUGGACUAGCUCGAAAAUAAAUGUUCAAGGUUUGUUAGGAAAUAACUUUCACAUUAGAGAUAUGAAAUAAAUUAUACAGUAGAGUAAUAUAUUAUCUUAAUGAUAAUUUUAAAAAGUGGGUAUAAGAAGUUGUUUUUGCUUAGUUAUAUGAUAUGGACUAUUGUUGACCUAGUUUAUUAAAACUAGAUUAUAAACAUCAUCAUGCCUAGAUAGAGUAAAGAAAUUAAAUAAAUUCUGCAGUAUAAUAGCACACCGAGGCAUCGUCCAAUGAUAAAUGUAUAUACGAUCUGUCAAUAGAUUCAAUUAUUUACUGACUGUAAAUAAUUUUUUGCGGUGGGCACACUAACACUAGAGACCCUUUCAACAUCGGCUCUUUGCUUUUUCACUGGAGAUAACUUCCUCCAUUGUAGUCUCUCCAUUUCUCGUGUUUCCUACAAAAAGCAAUCUUCUGCAUAAGCUAUUCAGGAACUUUCUACUCCUCUAUAUCUCUUCAAUAUACGACUCUCUAUGACUUCCAAAAAUAUCUCUCUUGCUAACAAAAUUGAUUCUUUUUCCAAAAUUUCAAGUAAAAAUUUGUAUUAUAUAAGUUAUCCAUCAAAUAAUGUGAUUUUCACCUUGUAUUACUUGUAUAUGUUUCAUUUUAUCAAUUUCUCCUUCAAUCUAGAUUUUUCUUUAAAACUAUAUAUUUGGGACUUGAAAAGAAAGUGAACAGUAAUUAUAUGGUUUUAGAUUUGGAUCCAAAACAAUUCUAUAUUUGAUUUGAUAAACAUUGUAUUUGACCAUUCAACACCUCAACUUGUAAACAACACUUAUUAUAUAGUUAAAAAUGUAAAAAAUAUUGUUCCAAAAGUUGCAUUAACCACGUAUCAAAUCAAUAUUUUGUAAAUAAAAAUAAAAAACCUUAAAAAAUGUUGCUCUUAAUUAAGGAGGUGUGAGAUUAUUACAAAAAGUGAAAUUCAAUGUAUCACAAGGUUACUUUUAAAUUUAAAAUGCCAUAAAAUUUUGAAAAAUUAAUUAUUUAGUCCCUAAAAUACGAUGAAAUUAUCUAAGAAAUUCCUUCGUUUUGAAUAAAUACUCAAAGCAUCCCUGACAUUUGCAUCUGUCACCUGAAUAAUCUCUUCGUCCACUUUUAAUGGUGUUUUCCCUUAAAUAUAGAAAAAAGUAAAAGAGAGGAGAGAGAACAUAUAUAAAAUUGAUAAAAUUACCCUUCUCUUGUUUUUCCUCAAUGGGAAAGCCUUCACGCAUCUACAGGUGAACUAGCCUUUUAGAUAUUUGGUAAAAUUACUUCACUAGUAUUGCAAUGAGCAUGAUUAAUUAAAAAAAUUCCUAAUGAAGAGGAUGUAAUUUCUCCAAAACCGAUACUUUUUUUCAACUAAUUUCCUCUUGUUAUCUAAUAGAAAGUAAAUUCAAGUUAAAGAAGCCAAAAGCGCGUGGCGAGAGAGCAAAUGAGUCUGUGCAUAAUAAGCCAAUAAACAAAGCCAACACUGUAUCUGCGAUCUCCUUAGUCCGUAAUGCGUCCACAUGGACAAGCUGGACCUCCAGGUCGACAGAAAGAGCCGAGUCGACGGUGAGGCAUAGGAUAGCUAGUAAGGACGAAAUCGACACUGAGCAACACGAGGAAGGUAAGCAAGAGAGUGGAGAUUUUGGGUUUGGAGGCGAGGGGGUUUGUGUGGAGAGGUUGGGAAGAGAGUUUGAAGAUGGCGAAGAUGAAAGGGGUGGGGAUAUUGAUGGCAGAGAAGCCGAUGGUGGAGGAGCAGUGCAGGGGAGAUGGCGGGGAGGGAGAGAAUGGAUCUGUCACUUUCAUAUGGCCAAAGGGUGUUUUCGUCCUUUCCAUGUCACUUAAGAAAAAAACGGAGGGACUAACGACGGAUGUAAACGUUAUUGACACAAUAAAUAUUUAUUUAAAACGAACGAAUUACUUAAAUAAUUUCGUCGGCUAAAUAAUUAAUUUUUUUAAAUUUGUUUAUCAAAAUUCAAUAAUUAAAUUAUGUAUAAAAAAAGAACACGGCACGCUUAGACAUGCUAUGCUUAGACAUGCUAUGCUAAUUGAAUAUAAAGAUUAUUAAAAAAUACAAACAAAGAAAAGAUGAUCCAUAAUACCACAUGAACAUAAAAUAAAAAAUUACUUAAAUUUUCUACUUUAAUAUUCUUAAUUAAAUUUUCAAUCUUAACAUCAUUAUUAAAAAUUAGGGCCUCUAUCUUUGAUUUGUUUAGAGAAAAUUAGCAAUUUGAUGAAGAAUUUCAAUAUUUUUAGAAGUUUCAAAUUCAUCACUAAAACACUACAUAUUUUAGGUUGUUCAAUAUAAUAUUAUAGGCAUUUUCUUGAUAAAAACCGAAGAUCACUAACAAUAUAUAAGUUUUGUGAAAUCUUGAAUUUCAAUCGACAUUGUGAAACGGCCUUCUAAAGUUAACACCACUAGAUAUUUAUGUAGUAAAAAACUUAUAAACUGUGAUAAUUAUUUGAAUUUUUUUUCAUUUGUAUAUCUUUAAACUUUUACUUUACGUACGAAUAAUUAUCUAAUAUAUAUUUAAGACCACAAUUUUAUUAAUAAAUUUUUAAAUAUUUUAUAAAUUUUUUAAAAUGUCUUUAAAAUAUUCAGGAGGUAUCUUGAAAUCUAAAAAAUUAAUAAAAUUUAUAAAAAAAAUAUGAAAAAUUUUUUUUCCUAGAUUGGUCGCUGCACUGCACAAAGCAAAUAAAUGAAAUGAAUUCCACAGUUUAAUAAUGUUAUUUUUUAUUUUAAUCACAAACCCAUUGGCCCGAGAGUAUAAAUAUCGUGCCCAGACAGAGCACAAACUUGCAAUGUUAGAAAGUCAAUCUUCUUUGUCUAGCAAAGAAUCUAAGGUUAAACUAGGUUUGGAUGGCUUGGGAUUAGAUGUUUGAGUUUGUUUAGGUUUUUCAUAGUCAUAUUAAUACUGAUAAAAUAAAUUAUUUUACUGGAAAAAAAAAAUCAUUUCCAUCUGUGUUUGAUCUUUGCUCAUCAAACCAUUCACUCACUUCCAACGAGAAAACAAUGGUAGAGUCUUUUUUGUUCAUUACUGCAGAAAGCGUUUUGGGCAAACUGACUGCUCUUGCUCUUCAAGAAUUUUUCUUGGCAUGGGGGCUUGAAGAUGACCUUGAAAAAAUUAAAGAGAUGUUACUUGCUAUCAAAGCUGUGCUUUCUGAUGCAGAGAAGCGUCAAUCCCAGGAUCACCGGAUAGAGUUUUGGCUUGGAAAGCUUAAAGAUGUUCUUUAUGAUACGGAAGAUGUGAUUGAUGAGUUCGAAUGUGAAGCUUUGCGAAGGCAAGUGGUGAAAUCCGGAAGCACUACUAGGAAGGUACGCCGAUUCUUUUCUACAUGUAAUCCACUUGCAUUCCGCCUUAAAUUGGGCCAUGAAUUAAAGAACAUUAGGAAGAGAGUAGCUGAAAUUGCAUCUCUCAAGUCUGAUUUUGGUCUCAAUGAGCAGAUUAAUGAUAAUUAUGUCAUCCAUACGGAGAAGCCCAUGACCCACUCCUUUGUGGAUCCUGCAACUGUCACUGGAAGAGACCAAGACACAUAAUUUAUCAUUAAAAAUUUGUUGAAUGCUGCUGAAAAUGACAAUGUCUCCAUUAUUCCAAUUGUUGGAAUUGGAGGAAUGGGGAAGACUACGCUUGCUCAAUUGGUGUAUAAUGAUCCUAGAGUAGUUACUCAUUUUGAGUUGAAAUUAUGGGUCUGUGUCUCUGAUAACUUUCAUUUGCAAACUGUGAUAAUUAAGAUUCUCAACUGUGUAAGCACUGGUCAAAGAUAUGUGGGUUUGGAUAUUGAGCAAUUGCAAAGAGCCUUGCGAGAGGCUUUACAAAGAAAGAGAUACUUACUCGUAUUGGAUGAUGUUUGGAAUGAGGAUAGAAAAAAAUGGGUUGACUUGAAAACUUUAUUAAUGGUGGGUGCUAAUGGAAGUACGAUCAUAGCCACCACACGAAGCAAUGAUGUUGCUACAAUUAUGGGCACAGUUGCUCCAUACGCUUUAGGUCGGCUUCCUGAACCAGAUUGUUUGUCUUUGUUUUUUAGAUGUGCAUUCGGAGAAGUGCAGAACCAAAAUCCAAACCUCAUACACUAUGGAGAACAAAUUGUGAGUAAAUGUAAGGGAGUUCCUUUAGCAGUAAUAACUUUAGGAACCCUACUUUACUCUGUAACAGAUGACAGUGCUUGGAAAUUUGUAAUGGAGAGUGAGAUAUGGAAAUUAAAGCAAAAGGAUAAUUAUAUUAUGCCUGCUUUAAAAUUGAGUUAUGAACUGAUGCCAGCCUACUUGAAGAGAUGUUUUGCUUAUUGUUCGAUUUUUCCAAAAGAUUAUCCAUUUGAUGAUGUUGAAUUGGUUUAUUUUUGGAUGUCACAUGGACUUAUUCAAUCUUCAAAUGAAAAUGAAGAGUUGGAAAAUGUGGGCUUGCGCUAUUUCCAAGAGCUAUGCUCUAGAUGUUUUUUCCAAGAGUUCUAUAUAAUAGAUGGCCAUGUUAAAUGUAAAAUGCAUGAUCUAAUUCACGAUCUAGCAUUAUCAGUCACUCAAAAUGAAUGCUUAACGGUAAUAAAUGGCAAUGAACCAUUAUCUGACAGCAUUCGACACUUAUCAUUUCCCUACCCUCAAUUACUUCCACAGGAUCUUCCAACACCCUUACAAGACCUAGAUUCUGUAAGAACUGUUUCCAUUUUAAAUGAAAGAAGCGGGGCUGUUGCAAGUGAAGUUUUCAUUGAGACAUGUAUCUCAAAAUUCAAAUACUUGAGGACCUUGGAUUUGGGUUUUUCCAGGGUGGCUGUACUCCCUAGAGGGAUAGCCAAAUUGAAGCAUUUGAGAUAUCUUAGUUUGUAUGGGAAUAUUCGCAUCAAAAGACUGCCUGAGUCCAUAUGCAAACUACAAAGCUUGCAAACUCUACUGCUUGGUGAUUGUGAUGGUCUUAGAGAGUUGCCCAAAGAUAUAAAGUACUUGAUUAGCCUUAGAAUGCUUUGGAUAACUACACAGCAAAGGUAUUUACCAAAUGGUGGAAUUGGGUGCCUCGGAUCUCUUCGAUAUUUGUUCAUCAUCGGUUGUGAAAAUUUGGAGUAUUUGUUUGGAGAUAUCCAAGGUCUGAAAAAACUUCAAACUUUGGUUAUCCGUCAUUGUCACAGCUUGGUCUCUUUGCCACCAAGUGUGAAAUUUCUAGCUGCUUUGAAGACUCUUGUUGUUGCGAGUUGCGAAAAUCUUGAUUUGACAAUGGAGGAAGGAAUAGAUAGUCAAGACUCGACAAGCCAAUUAUUUAGCCUUUGCAAACUGGAGAUUGAAGGCUUACCAAAGUUAGUGGAUUUUCCGCAAUGGCUUCUUCACAGAUCUAAUACCGGUUUAAAAGUUAUCAAAGUUGCAUGUUGUUGCAACUUCAGGAACUUUCCAAACUACAUGCACGGCAUACCAUCGCUUGAGUUACGUAUCACUGGGUGCCCCCAAUAUCAAGGGGAGGAUAUUAUUAUAUGAAAUAAAGGGUAAUUUUAAACGACUUGUAUUUUGGAGGAAUGAUUUUGGAGGAAUGAUGUAGAGAGUAUGUUAUUAAUCAACUUAUUUAAUUUUCUUUUCAUCUAAAAAAUAAUUUUACUUGUGGUCAAAUGUUUUUUUUCAUAUAUUUAACUAAUUAAAAUUAAAAUACAAUAUGCUUAGAAAAUUUACCAUUUCGUAAGAGAACAUUAUAUUUUAUGUAUGUAUAUAUGUUAAUUUGACAAUUCUUAUGUCUCUGGAUUAAUAGGUCAAGACCUCAAUAACUCACUCGGUUUAGUUUGAGUGUUUGGAAGAUGGAAAUUAUAUGAGGUUGCUAGGUGCAGUGAAUUGCCUUAUAUGAGGUAAAUAUUUCGCUUUUUAAAGACAAUAUCUUUUUUUUUUCCCUUUAUAUUUGUUAAUUUCCUCUUUGUAUAUAUUCACACACUUUGAUAAAAUUGAAUUUGUUAGAGAAAAUGGACACUUGUCACCUAUUAGCUAAGGUUUUUGAUUUGAAUUUGAGUAGACUGUUUUUGACUUGGAUUGUAUAUUGCAGGUGUUGUGGCCUUUCAACAAAAAUUAUCGGCCAAUGAUAAACAUAAAUGUUAAAUGUUCAAUUAGUUGGGCUUUUUUUUUUUUUUCAUACAACCAGGAGGAGUAAUUUCUUUGGAUCGUAGAGCGUAAAUAUUUUUUAAAAUCAUUUACCAUUCUAACCAUCACUUUGUUGGUUCCAUUUCCUUCCUUGUUGUGUUAUUAUUUACAAUUUUCCGUGGUUUGUGGAUUUGAGUAUUUUAUGUUUGUCUAGUGUAAUUGUAUUAAUGUUGUACUACAUAUUUGUAAUAUUGUACUUGUAUAAAAGAAGUCCUUUAAAACUUAAGUGCAUGUCAUUAAUUUUUAAGCGGGCGAUCUACUCGCUGCCAUCUUUUUAUGUGCCCUGUUAUGGAUUUGAUAUUUGAUCGUUGAUUCUUAAUACCCUUCAAAUAAAACUGAAAAUAGAUAUCGGUUGAUCCUUUAAAUUUGAAAUCUUCUUUCUAAAGUGAUAGUCAGUUUUGUAUUUAAAAUUGACUUAAAAAAGUCUCGCUAUGAGUAUUAUUGUAAAUAAGUCAAUCUAUAUAUGAAAAUGCUCGAGGCUCUGUUUAAAAAAAGCUCGCUUGAACUUGUUCGAUAAGUUUAACGAGUUGACUCAAGCUGAACUAUCAAGUUCAUUUAAUAAAUACAUUAAUGACUUAUCAAGCUCAACUAGAUAUGUGUUAAUUUUAUAAAAUUAUAUAUUAAUUUCGCUAUAAUUUGGAAAAUCAAAAUUUUAUAUUUUUCUUUAAAAAAUAUUAUUUGUCUUUUCAUAUAAAUUGACGGAUAAAUGACCAACUUUUAAAACUGACGGAUGUAUGUAUUAGUUUCGUUAUAGAAAUUUCGCUAUAAUUUGGAGAUUUAAAAUUGUCUUUUUUUUUUUUUUUAAACAAGAUUAUUUUAAUCUUUUUAUAGAAAUUAAUGGAUAAAAGAUCAACUUUUCGAACCGAAAGAUGUAUGUAUUAGUUUCGUUAUAGGAAUUUCGCUAGCAACGCAAAAAUUUAUUUUUUUCUUACUAUUAUUGUACGCACACAGGCCUGCCAAACUAGGAGGAAAACUUUGAGGCCCAUUGGAUGGCAGAGACUAUCUAGGUCUUCUAUGGAUUCUUCUCCUUCUCCAAUAAUAUAGGAUGUGCAUUUUUCUCAAGUCUUAAAAUAUUCCUUUUUAAAAAAAAAAAUUCGUCCAAUGUAUGUUUGACACCUCAUUUAUUUAUUUUUUUUUAAAUGUUUCACCGAAUUCAUUGUAUUCUUAAAAAAAACAUAAAAAUUUGUAACUUCGUGGAGAAUAAAAGAGAACGAAAAACCUUAGUUCAAAGUUUAUGUCUAGGGUGUAUAAUAUUUUGCAAUAGUUAUUCUUUUUAUCUAUUAUGGUCAUCUACUCCAUAUUAUUUUUCAUUUUAGUUUAAUUUUAUUGAUUUAAAUUACUUCAAUUUAAAUGACUAUCAUUUAUGUAUUUUAAUGGAUAUCUCAAUUUAAUUCAUGCGUGAAUGGAAAUUAUUUCUUUUUUCGAAUAAAUUUAAGAGUACAGUUCUUAUAUUUUAUGGAAAUAAAUUAGAUUAGGAGUGAAAAAUAAAGAGCCACGAGAUUGAAUUUUAACAAUAAAUAGAAAAUAUAAAUUCAUUUUCAUUCAAUGCACUAAAUCAAUACAAAUCAAAUCAAUGCCAGACACUAAAUCUCUAUAUAUCCAUUUAAAUACAAAAAAGUCAAUUUCAUAUUUUAAAUAUUGAUAUUGAUAUUUAAUGGAUAUAAUAUAAAAUAAAUCUGUUAUUUAUUUAUUUUUUAUUGGUUUUUAUAAACAAAUAUAUUAUUAAAAAAAAAUCAAUCAAUCUACGAGAUAAUCAAAGUAGCAUGUUUGUUCAAAGGGUUACCCAAAUCCCAAGAUAUGCAUUAAAUGAUGUUACAACUUACCUUACCAUACAUAAACAAAAAAAAAAAAAAAAAAAAAAAAAAUGUAGGUCAAUCUUGAAUCCCACUGUUGAAAUGAAAACCCUCUCUGUGAAGGUUUUGGAUUUUAUUGGCAAAAAAAGACAUUGAGAUAAUGAGAUAUGUUAACAUCAAUUAAUGUUAUUAUAUUUUAUUUUAUUUAAUCAUAAAAUAAAAUACUAUGCAAGCCAUUUUCAUUUGCAUCGAUAGGUCACUCUCACACACCCAAGUCUCAAUACAUUCUAAGACACUUGACACCAAUCUUUAUUACUAAACAGUGGACACAUGUUACUUGGAGAAUACUAUGUACAAUCUCUUAAUUAAAUUUUCUUUCAAACACUUAUUGUUUAUUUGUUGAAACUCAUCUGUUUUUUUUUUUUUCUUAACCACCUAUUUUCUUGGCAUAUUGGAUUAGAAUUAAAUCUGCUCAUACUAGAUUGGCUCCACUCAAUAAUAAAGUGCUCCAGCCAGUAUUUAUUCCGUAUAUGAAAAUCGAAUUUAAUAUAAUACGUAGAUUUAAAUUAUCCUUAUCAGAUCAAGCGGCGUAUAAAAACUGAUUUGAAACUAUAAGUGAUGUGAAACCAUAGAGUUAUAGGUGACUUACUUUUAAAUUAAAUAUAAAUAUAGAUUAAUUAAAUGAUAAUUAUUGAAAGAGAAUACUAUUAUUAAAUAUUAAAUAUUAAUAUCAAUGUCGGUUGCUAGCAUUUCUAUACGUUACAGUCCACCACUACUAAUUACAUCAUAGGAUAGCUCCAAAAUUAGGGAAGAGUACAUUUGUGCAUUUCUCAUUGGACAAGCAAUGCUUAAAACAAAUUAAUUACUAUUUAAACCCGUUUAAAAAUAUAUUUUGUAUAGUAUGUAAUCUUUAAGUUUGCAUCUACCCCUAUAAAGUUAAAAUAUCUUUUUUAAUAAUUAAAUAUAUAUAAAUUAUCAUAAACAUUCGCUUCAUAAAUUUAACUAUUUUGAUAAUAUAUUUAGUUUUUUAAUUAAUAUAAAAUAUUUCCUAAUACUAUAUUCUUAGUUCUUCCUAUAAAUAUUUUAAUAUCAUGCAAGAAUCAAAGCAACUAUAUUCAAAGAAAAGAUCUAGCCAAGUAUAUGUAUGCAAUUUUUUUUUUUUACUUAUUGUUUUAAUAUAUAUUUUUUUAUUAUCACUAUUAGAUAUAUUAAAUUCAUCUCUAUGUAUAACUAUUAAGAUAUAUUUUUACAGCAAACUAUUUUAUAUUUUGUGUUUUCACGUUAAUUUUUUUUAAAAUUUUUCCAGAAAUUAUGUUAACGAAAUUUCUUUAAUUUUUAACAUUUAUACUAAAAUAUUUUUGCAUAUUAUUGCUGAAGUUUUUCAUUUAACGGUAACAAUUUUGUAUAAUAAUUACUUUUAUUAUACUAUUAGAUCGCAGUUGCCAGCACCUUUCCAUAUUUUAUUCCACCACUCCCAGUUACAUCAUAGGAUAGCUCCAAAAUUGGUAAUAGUAUAUUUCUGGAUUUCUCAUUGGAUGAGCAAUAAAUUAAUUACUAUUUGCACACCGAAACAUAAUUUAAUGAUAAAUAUAUAUACUACCUGAUAAUAAAUUCAGAUUUAAAUUUUUUCUCCCGGUACUCAAGAAAAAAAGCACUAUUUAAGCUCACAUAAAAAUAUAAUAUAUAUUAGUAUGUAUCUUUAAGGUCUUGAUUUUCCUAUUUAAGAGUCUUUAUAAAUACAGAAAUAUAUAUUUUUAAUAUUAUACAAGCAUUUAAAUAAGUAUUCAGAUGAAAGCUUAGAUAUAUUAUUUUCUUCUGUAUUUAUUGUUUUAAUAUAUAAUUUUAUAUUAUCACAUUCUAUAUUAUCACAAAGGCCAUACCCACGAAAAUUUCUUUAAUUUUGAAUUUUUUUUGAAAGGAAAUUUUGACUAUUCAACGUUCAACUAAAAUUUUCAUGUUUUUAUUGAAGGUUUUUCAUUUGAAUGUAUAUCGAAUUUUAUAUAAUAAUUACACUCUUAUUUUAUUAAAAUUCAAAUGAAUCAUAUUUUUAAUAAUUUUACAAUAUGCAUAAUAAUUAUAUUCAAUAUUUAAAUUUAUUAAAAUGUGCUAAUAUAAAAGUCAUAAAAAGAUUAGUCAUCAUAAAAGUAGAAAAAAAAAAAAAAAAAAAAAAAAAAAAAGAAAACAUUGUGAAGGUUUGAUUUUUAUUCUCUAAUCACUAAACCGCGUAUUAUAGUUGAUUAAUGACAUCUCUAAGAUAACAUUAAUUUAUCAUGUGAGACGUGGGCAUCUUGCAAACCCAAGAGGAUUAGAGAGCGAGCGGAAAGGAAAAUCCAAAAACACGUGGCAAAAAUAUAGUGGAUUAGGCCAGCGUUUGCAUGGAAGGAACAUAUGUAGGUCCCAGUGACGAGUCCUUAUCGGACUGAAGUUUUGCCACGUGUCCACCAUCUACAGAAACUUGAUUGAUACCCUACGACGCGUGUGUACUGGUUCACCACCACUGACCUAAUCCUGGUGGGGUCAAGCCAAUUAACUUUAUGGCCGACACUUACUCACCAAAAUGGGAAAAGUCUAUCUUUUGCAUAAACGUCCUCAUAAUUUCCCGAAUUUAAAAUUGUGACCUAAAAUAAACUAAAUUUAGCAAUUCAUCCCCAAUACUUAUUUAAUAAUUAUAAAUUUAGCAAUUUGAAAGUAGCCCUUUUCAAGGAAUCACUUUUUAGGUUAGUAGCUCAACUAAAUAUCAACUCUAAUAGAUUUNNNNNNNNNNNNNNNNNNNNNNNNNNNNNNNNNNNNNNNNAAAAAAAAAAAAAAGCAUUUCUCUAACUUUGAUAGUAAGGGUUAGAUGAUCUAAUAUCUAUAGAUUAUUAGGGAAACAAAAAUAGAAAAAGUGAAAUUUUAUGUUAGAUUUUUAGAUCAACCUAACAAUUAAUUGUUGGAUUUAGGGUUACAUCAUGAGAUAUGUCACAUUCAAAAGAAUUAAAAAGAAGAAAAAAAAAGAUUCUUUAAGUCAUUUAUAAAUGAUAUAGUAAUUUAUUUAUGUUUAUGAUAUUCAUUGCUAAGGAUAUUUUUCUUUAAUAUAUUAUUUCUUAAAAUAUCCUCUAAUCUUAUUUUAUUAGAUAAAUUAUUGAAUAUGAGGUAGCUUUUUUUCUGUAAAAGUUUAAACUCGAUGUUUUUUAAAACAUAAAUGUGUAACUUAAGGGUUUAUUCGGCAAAAUUAGCUAUUUUAGUAGCAUUUAGUUAUUAGCUUUUAUUUAGCUUUUUAUGAAACUGAAAAUCUAAACCUUAUAUGAAUUAACUUUUCAUAAAAUGCUACCUUAACAUUUAAAACUUAAUUCCAACGGUAUGUUACCUGACCACUAUAAAAAAUAGCAUUAGUGUUUUGGCUGAUCAAAACUCUAAACGUUACUUAAAAAAUUAUUAUAAAAUACUAUUUUUGAAAGUCGUAAAAAGAUUAUAAUCUCUAAAAGAAAAAAUUACAAUCUAUAAAUGAUAUUUGCAAUAAAUAUAUAAAUAUAUUCAUGGCUCUAAAAACCUCCCAAUUCAAUCUAAUUCGAGUAAAGAAUUUUAAAUUUAGUUAGUUAGGGAUUUUAUUUCAAGCUAUGUCAAAUUCACCUAAUUAAUAAAAUAUUAAUAUUUUAUAUAUACUUUAUUGUUAUGAGUAAGAUUUAAAUAAAUUUCUAAACUCCAUAUUAGCUAGGUCUAGAUAGGCUAGACCCAAAUUUAGAAUAAAACAUCUUAAUCUAUCUUAGGCUAAACCUUUUUUUUUUUUUUUUAUAACCAAGAGAGCGAAAAAGUGCAAAAAUUACCUUUCUCGACGAUUGAACUUGUGUUUUUACCUUUAAAAAAGUUGAAGUUGCUUACUACCUCAACCAAUACCUUGUUUGUUUAGGCUAAACUUAUUUAAGAAUUCAUAAAUUAGCAAAUUUUAUCAAAUUAAAAUUUAAUAAUUCAUUGAAUAAAUAUUGUGUCUAGACUUGACUAGACUCAUUAAGCCAGAGAAAUUGUAAUUAAAUAUAUUUUUGUUUCAAUUUAAACCUAUACACAAUUAUAAAAUAAAGUAAAAUAAGAGGAAUACAAACAAAAUAUGGAAACUAUGAGGACUAACACAAAUAGCACUUUGAAAAGUCAUUAAAAAAAAAUCCAAAAGAAGAAAAAAUAGAAGGGGCAAAAAUAAACCUUGAAUCCUAUAGGGCCAUUUAUGGACCUUUAUAAUUUUGGAAUUAAAGCUUAUUCCAAAGAAUUAUGUUUGUGGUUCAUGUUGCUAAAUUAUUACCACUCAUAACCAAGACCAUAACGAUAUCCCAAUCUUUAACUCUUUUUUCUCACUAACAAAAUCCCACUUCUCCUUCAUCACUAUCUUGUCCACUUCUUGCACACAUAAUAAUCAACUUAAUAAAACCAGAAAGAAAUACUCUUUCUCUAUGUUAAGUGCUAAAAGACCUACCACCAGCACCUCCACAAGCCAUGGAGAAACCGAUCACGACCAAGAACAUGAAGAUAUCCGCGAUAUCCAUGCCUUAACCCCACCCCCGCCGCCUUCGGUGCCUCGAGGCCGUUGGGAAACGGGUAGCCAUCGCUCAAUAUCCAUGAGUAGUGAAGGGGCUGCAAGUGAGAACUUCACCUCCAUGAGUAGAGAGUUCAAUGCUUUGGUUCUUGCUGGUUCUGCAAUAGGAACUAGCAUGAACAACAACAAUAGCGGUUCUGAUCAUAAUGAAGAUAGCAACUUAAACAACCUGUUGGCUAGGAUUGGAGAAGAUGAAGUUCCUGAAGAGACUAACCCUUUGGCUAUUGUGCCUGAUACUCGCCCCUUGGACCCAGAACCCAGCUCAAGCUCAAGAAGGGUUGGGUCCAAUCAGGUGGUUGUUGGUGCUGGUGGUGGUGGUGCUGAUGUGUCAGUGCAGAGAGUGAAGAAAGAAGAGAUAGAAACCAAGAUAU